rnacentral:rRNA from 1 species
UACAGAGGGGGCAAGCGUUGUUCGGAAUUACUGGGCGUAAAGCGCGCGUAGGCGGCUUUGUAAGUUAGAGGUGAAAGCCCGGAGCUCAACUCCGGAACUGCCUUUAAAACUGCAUCGCUUGAAUCCAGGAGAGGUGAGUGGAAUUCCGAGUGUAGAGGUGAAAUUCGUAGAUAUUCGGAAGAACACCAGUGGCGAAGGCGACUCACUGGACACGUAUUGACGCUGAGGUGCGAAAGCGUGGGGAGCAAACAGGG